rnacentral:rRNA from 1 species
GAUGAACGCUGGCGGCGUGCCUAAUACAUGCAAGUCGAGCGAACAGACGAGGAGCUUGCUCCUCUGACGUUAGCGGCGGACGGGUGAGUAACACGUGGAUAACCUACCUAUAAGACUGGGAUAACUUCGGGAAACCGGAGCUAAUACCGGAUAAUAUAUUGAACCGCAUGGUUCAAUAGUGAAAGACGGUUUUGCUGUCACUUAUAGAUGGAUCCGCGCCGCAUUAGCUAGUUGGUAAGGUAACGGCUUACCAAGGCAACGAUGCGUAGCCGACCUGAGAGGGUGAUCGGCCACACUGGAACUGAGACACGGUCCAGACUCCUACGGGAGGCAGCAGUAGGGAAUAUUCCGCAAUGGGCGAAAACCUGACGGAACAACGCCGAGUGAGUGAUGAAGGUCUUCGGAUCGUAAAACUCUGUUAUUAGGAAAGAACAAAUGUGUAAAUAACUAUGCAAGUCUUGACGGUACCUAAUCAGAAAGCCACGGCUAACUACGUG